CGAAUGAAAUUAGGAGCAGGUGGCACGAGGAAGGCCCUGCAGGGGUUUGGACGGGUGUCAGCUGUGGUCAGUCCUUAGAGUGAUGGAGGAGCCUGGCUCCCUGCCUGGGACAGCACCAAUAUGUGUGGGAGUGUGUGGGCAUGUGAUGUGCAAGGUUAUUAAUGGCUGAGAAGAGACCACAGCUGGAAAUCCUCCCAGUGCCAGCUAAAUGCCUCACAGAAAAGCCCAUCUAUGUAGGGCUCUGGGAACAAAAGCUCCACGUAAACAACUGAGGUGUGGAGACUCUGGGUAACUCAAGGACCUCACAUUCAGACACCAGAGUUGUGAAACCUGAAUACCUGACUAGGUUAUUUAACCGUCUUCUGCGCUUGAUGGCAGUGGAAUGUGGACUUACCAAGCAUGAGUCACCAGGAGCAGUACCUAGGAAAAUACCCAAGUCACCCCAAUUACACCAUUAUCAAUGGCUGCAUCGCCCUGCAACCCAGCGCAAUGAAACUGGAGAGAAUGCCAGCUGGGCCGGGCCUGGAGGAAUCUAGCUCUUGGCGAAGAUUGCCUGCCUGGCAGCGGCCUCUGCAGUCAUGCCAAGCCACAAGCCCUGUGUGGUCGAUGUGCAGAGGUGUCAGGCCCAUUCUACAGCUAUGGAAACUAAGGCUCACCAGAGCUCAGGCCACUCCAGCAGCUCCAACCAUAGAUGAGGACCCAGAGGGAGAAAGGCUGUUUCAAGCAGCGGCUGCAAGCACUGGGUGGGAGAAGUACCACCGGGAACUGCCAUCUUGGCUAAUGGAAUGACCAUCCAAGGAACAUCCAGUUUGUGUUAGCACAUGUCAUGAGCUAUGCAGGCAGCACUUCAGUAAUAGGUGCAUUUGCCUCUGCUUCGUAGAUGACAACAUGAAAAGAAUCCAUCACUGGCCAUGGGCAUGCAGUUGAUAAGUAGGCAAGUCCAGCCCCCACGUGAUCAGGGUCUGUUGCUUCCCUUGAUGAAGUCUGCCUGUGUUCAUGACUGAAAAUGAACAAGUGGACCGCCAUGAUGCUCCCUGUGUGCACACAACCAUGCCCACCUGCACAGACCACAUGGGCCUCUGACAUUCUGUGGCAGUGAGCCUGGCCUGGUGGAUAAAGGAACCAGCUACAGCUGGCCCACCCACGAGCCAGUAGCGUUCCUUGCUCUUAAUCAGUAAGAUUUGUUUCUGGAAUAAAAACCACAUCAGCAUUUUCAUUUUCAAGUUCA